CGGAUCGUAUCUCAGUUGGCUAGAGACAGAGCUGCAUGACGGCCAGUGUCGCAGGUUCGAAUCCUGCCGAUCCGA
rnacentral:tRNA from 1 species